rnacentral:rRNA from 1 species
CUUGCACCUUUCAAGCGAGUGGCGAACGGGUGAGUAACACGUGGAUAACCUGCCUCAAGGCUGGGGAUAACAUUUGGAAACAGAUGCUAAUACCGAAUAAAACUUAGUAUCGCAUGAUACAAAGUUGAAAGGCGCUACGGCGUCACCUAGAGAUGGGUCCGCGGUGCAUUAGUUAGUUGGUGGGGUAAAGGCCUACCAAGACAAUGAUGCAUAGCCGAGUUGAGAGACUGAUCGGCCACAUUGGGACUGAGACACGGCCCAAACUCCUACGGGAGGCUGCAGUAGGGAAUCUUCCACAAUGGGCGAAAGCCUGAUGGAGCAACGCCGCGUGUGUGAUGAAGGCUUUAGGGUCGUAAAGCACUGUUGUAUGGGAAGAAAUGCUAGAAUAGGGAAUGAUUCUAGUUCGACGGUACCAUACCAGAAAGGGACGGCUAAAUACGUGCCAGCAGCCGCGGUAAUACGUAUGUCCCGAGCGUUAUCCGGAUUUAUUGGGCGUAAAGCGAGCGCAGACGGUUGAUUAAGUCUGAUGUGAAAGCCCGGAGCUCAACUCCGGAAUGGCAUUGGAAACUGGUUAACUUGAGUGUUGUAGAGGUAAGUGGAACUCCUGUGUUAAACG